UACGUAGGGGGCGAGCGUUGUCCGGAUUCAUUGGGCGUAAAGAGCUCGUAGGCGGUUCGGUAAGUCAGGUGUGAAAUCUCCACGCUCAACGUGGAGGGGCCGCCUGAUACUGCCGUGACUCGAGUCCGGUAGGGGAGUAUGGAAUUCCCGGUGUAGCGGUGAAAUGCGCAGAUAUCGGGAGGAACACCAGUGGCGAAGGCGGCUCACUGGCCCGGUACUGACGCUGAGACGCGAAAGCGUGGGGAGCAAACAGG
rnacentral:rRNA from 1 species